GCGGCCAUGGCGGAAUUGGUAGACGCACUAGCUUGAGGUGCUAGCGGGUAACACCGUGGAGGUUCGAGUCCUCUUGGCCGCACCA
rnacentral:tRNA from 4 species